rnacentral:tRNA from 1 species
UGGGACGUAGCUCAAUUGGUAGAGCACCAGACUCUGGCUCUGGGUGUUCGGGGUUCAAAACCCUGCGUCCCAGCCA